CCUACUAUCAUAUGUGUCUUUAAAUUGUACCAAAAUAGUACGACAGCUGGAAAAAGGGGCAAUUGCAAGAACAAGGAUAGUUGUCUUAGAAGACAGCUUGGGACACUCCAGUUUCCUUCAGAAAGUCAUAGACUAGAGAGCACAGUGCUCAAACCAAAAGUGGUUGGUUCUAAAAUGCGCAAAACGGGGUUGAAGUGGUGAGGAAGUUGGUUCAGAAGCUCAUCUUCAACAGCAAUAAUUGGAGGCAGCGGAUUCCUCAAUCGGCCAAAAGUCAAGAGCUGGAUAUAGUCUCGCCAGUCAACUGCCUUCCAUGCUACUCGAGUCACAAGCCCCAUCAACAGUCUGGCAGUACAACUCAUCCUUCACGAGAUGGCAACAAUGGGCAGAGUUGCACGGAAUAUCAUCCCUACCCGCAGAUCCUUACAUGGUAGCCUUAUACCUGAUCCAUAUUGGAACUGUGCAACAUCACCAUGCACCUACAGUCACAAACUCUCUAGCUGCCAUGUCAUGGGUUCAUCUCAUGGCUAGUUGGGACCAUGAUACAACCAAAGACCCUCUGGUGUCAUACAACGCGCUAAAGGUCUGACAAGAACACUGGUUAAGCC